rnacentral:rRNA from 1 species
AUACGUAUGGAGCAAGCGUCAUCCGGAUUUACUGGGUGUAAAGGGCGCGUAGGCGGCGCGGUAAGUCUGGAGUGAAAGUCCUGCUUUCAAGGUGGGAAUUGCUUUGGAUACUGCCGCGCUUGAGUGCAGGAGAGGUUAUCGGAAUUCCCGGUGUAGCGGUGAAAUGCGUAGAGAUCGGGAGGAACACCAGUGGCGAAGGCGGGUAACUGGACUGCAACUGACGCUGAGGCGCGAAAGUGUGGGGAGCAAACAGGAUUAGAUACCCUGGUAGUCCACACUGUAAACGAUGAAUGCUAGGUGUAAGAGGUAUCGACCCCUUUUGUGCCGGAGUCAACACAAUAAGCAUUCCGCCUGGGGAGUACGGCCGCAAGGUUGAAACUCAAAGGAAUUGACGGGG